rnacentral:rRNA from 1 species
UACAGAGACUGCAAGCGUUGUUCGGAUUCACUGGGCGUAAAGGGUGCGCAGGCGGCCAAGUGUGUCAGGUGUGAAAGCUCGAGGCUUAACCUCGAAACUGCGCCUGAAACUAUUUGGCUAGAGUACUGGAGAGGGAAGUGGAAUUCACGGUGUAGCAGUGAAAUGCGUAGAUAUCGUGAGGAACACCAAUGGCGAAGGCAACUUCCUGGACAGUUACUGACGCUCAGGCACGAAAGCGUGGGGAGCAAAAGGG